GACGAACGCUGGCGGCGUGCUUAACACAUGCAAGUCGAACGAAGAGCGAUGGAAGCUUGCUUCUAUCAAUCUUAGUGGCGAACGGGUGAGUAACGCGUAAUCAACCUGCCCUUCAGAGGGGGACAACAGUUGGAAACGACUGCUAAUACCGCAUACGAUCUAAUCUCGGCAUCGAGGAUAGAUGAAAGGUGGCCUCUACACGUAAGCUAUCACUGAAGGAGGGGAUUGCGUCUGAUUAGCUAGUUGGAGGGGUAACGGCCCACCAAGGCGAUGAUCAGUAGCCGGUCUGAGAGGAUGAACGGCCACAUUGGGACUGAGACACGGCCCAGACUCCUACGGGAGGCAGCAGUGGGGAAUCUUCCGCAAUGGACGAAAGUCUGACGGAGCAACGCCGCGUGAGUGAUGACGGCCUUCGGGUUGUAAAGCUCUGUUAAUCGGGACGAAAGGCCUUCUUGCGAAUAGUGAGAAGGAUUGGCGGUACCGGAAUAGAAAGCCACGGCUAACUACGUG
rnacentral:rRNA from 1 species